GAUGAACGCUGGCGGCGUGCCUAACACAUGCAAGUCGAACGGAGAUUUAACGCUGCAGAGACUUCGGUCAAAGCUUGUUAGAUCUUAGUGGCGGACGGGUGAGUAACGCGUGGGCAACCUGCCUCGUACUGGGGGAUAACAGUUGGAAACGACUGUUAAUACCGCAUAAGCGCACAGUGUCGCAUGACACAGUGUGAAAAACUCCGGUGGUACGAGAUGGGCCCGCGUCAGAUUAGCUAGUUGGUGAGGUAACGGCUCACCAAGGCGACGAUCUGUAGCCGGACUGAGAGGUCGGACGGCCACAUUGGGACUGAGACACGGCCCAAACUCC
rnacentral:rRNA from 1 species